UACGUAGGGUGCAGCGUGUCGGAUUCGAAUCUGGGCGUAAAGAGCUCGUAGGUGGUUUGUCGCGUUGUUCGUGAAAACUCACAGCUUAGCUGUGGGCGUGCGGGCGAUACGGGCAGACUGGAGUACUGCAGGGGAGACUGGAAUUCCUGGUGUAGCGGUGAAAUGCGCAGAUAUCAGGAGGAACACCAAUGGCGAAGGCAGCUCGCUGGGACGGUACUGACGCUGAGACGCGAAAGCGUGGGGAGCAAACAGG
rnacentral:rRNA from 1 species